GACGGAAGGUGCAAGCGUUGCUCGGAAUCAUCGGGCGUAAAGGGUGCGUAGGCGGCUUGGUGGGUCUGGUGUGAAAGCCCCGGGCUUAGCCCGGGAAGGGCGCUAGAAACUGCCGAGCUCGAGUGCCGGAGGGGAGAGUGGAAUUCCUGGUGUAGCGGUGAAAUGCGUAGAUAUCGGGAGGAACACCAGUGGCGAAGGCGACUUCCUGGCCUGUUCUUGACGCUGAGGCGCGAAAGCUAGGGGAGCAAACGGG
rnacentral:rRNA from 1 species